AUGAUGUCACCCAUUCUCAAGAUAGUUAUUAAUCUGUCAAGAAAUCCAAGAAAGUUCAGUCACACAAAGCUAAGCAUUCUACUGGCACUUGAGAACAGCUACAUAAUUUGUCAUUCAUCCCUAGAUGAGACCUGGUCAAUGGAGAUUUUACAUCUGGGAUGCAUCAUGAUGGCACCUGCAGAGGGCUUCUACUGAAUUGCACUGUGGGCUGAUGUCCCUGGCUACAUGAAGAAUAUCACAGAAAAUGGCCUUUGAAGCUUGUCAUUUCAUUUAGUCCAAAGAUGUUGCUGUGACAUUAUUUUUUACUUUACCUAGUACUCUUUCUUGAAAGACUUACUGGAGAAUUUCACUCUAAUCUCAAUAACAGAAGUACUUGACUUGUCUAAGCAGUGAAUGUGUCUUUUAUGUUCUAUAUUCUGUAAAUUGUUUUACAUUUCCUCUUCAUACAUUCUCCUUGGAAUUUUUCACUCAGUUCAUGGUGCACUUCUAAUAAGCAUAUAGAGUUUCAAGAAAUGUAAUUUGUAUAUUCACCUUGCUCCUGCCUUCAUCCUGUGCUCCUGUCAUCAUUUUCCCUUUCCCUCUUUUUUUAAAAAAGUAUUACCUGUUUGACUUUGCUGUACUACCUACUCCUUUGUAAGCCAUUUGUACUCCUCUCCAGAGUCAGUAGGAAUACACUGAAGUAUAUAAAUUAUUCAACAGAGGCCCACCUGGAACAUAGAUACAGUUUCCUAAGGACUCCUAAUUAUCUGCAGGACCAAUAACAUAUCUAGAUCUUGAAUGCACAGAUUUCCCGGUGCUGACUGAAUAAAUCUGCUUCAUGUGUCUUCAUGUGUCAGCUGCUGAUACUAUCCUGACUGUUGCUCUGCGCCAUAUUUUAAAGAGACCAUUGGGGUCUUACCUUAUGUGAGUGAAGUAGGAUUUUAAAUAUCAUAAAAGCUAGUAGGAAGAUACUUAGGGGAGAUGAGCCAUUAAAUCAGGGUUUUUCCAACUGCAGUACCCAACCUUUUUGGAGGUUUUAAAUUAAAGUUAUGACUAAAAUUUUUGAAUGAAAAUUUUUUAAAUUUUACGGAAAUAUACUUUUAAGGAAAAUAAAUAUAAACAUCAAAGUGCAUUGUAUAUAGUAAGGUCAAG
rnacentral:lncRNA from 1 species